AAGUCGUAACAAGGUUUCCGUAGGUGAACCUGCGGAAGGAUCAUUAUCACGUAUCCACGUAUCAACCAUUGCGAACCGUAUUAACCUCUGUGGUGAUGGCGCUAUAAACGCAUAACAGUUGUUGUGAUUGACUGUUGUUUGUAGCAUUAAGCUGUCGCUGCAGAGCGUAUUUUUAAUCACUAUUACAUUAACCAUUUUAACCCAACCUUUAUAACUUUAUGAACUAACUUAUUUUAUACUCUUCGGAGAUAAAAUUCAUUACGAAACAAAGAACAACUCUUAGCAACGGAUAUCUUGGUUCUCGUAACGAUGAAGAACCGCAGC
rnacentral:misc_RNA from 1 species